rnacentral:rRNA from 1 species
UUCCAGACUCCUACGGGAGGCAGCAGUGGGGAAUAUUGGACAAUGGGGGGAACCCUGAUCCAGCGACGCCGCGUGAGUGAAGAAGUAUUUCGGUAUGUAAAGCUCUCUCAGCAGGGAAGAAGAAGGACGGUACCUGACUAAGAAGCCCCGGCUAACUACGUGCCAGCAGCCGCGGUAAUACGUAGGGAGCAAGCGUUGUCCGGAAUUACUGGGCGUAAAGGGCGCGUAGGUGGGUGCUUAAGUCAGGUGUGAAAACUCUGGGCUCAACCUGGAGACUGCACUUGAAACUGGGUAUCUUGAGGGCAGGAGAGGAAAGUGGAAUUCCUAGUGUAGCGGUGAAAUGCGUAGAUAUUAGGAGGAACACCAGUGGCGAAGGCGACUUUCUGGACUGUACCUGACGCUGAGGCGCGAAAGCGUGGGUAGCGAACGGGAUUAGAUACCCCAGUA